rnacentral:rRNA from 1 species
GGUUAAGCGACUAAGCGUACACGGUGGAUGCCCUGGCAGUCAGAGGCGAUGAAGGACGUGCUAAUCUGCGAUAAGCGUCGGUAAGGUGAUAUGAACCGUUAUAACCGGCGAUUUCCGAAUGGGGAAACCCAGUGUGUUUCGACACACUAUCAUUAACUGAAUCCAUAGGUUAAUGAGGCGAACCGGGGGAACUGAAACAUCUAAGUACCCCGAGGAAAAGAAAUCAACCGAGAUUCCCCCAGUAGCGGCGAGCGAACGGGGAGCAGCCCAGAGCCUGAAUCAGUGUGUGUGUUAGUGGAAGCGUCUGGAAAGGCGCGCGAUACAGGGUGACAGCCCCGUACACAAAAAUGCACAUACUGUGAGCUCGAUGAGUAGGGCGGGACACGUGGUAUCCUGUCUGAAUAUGGGGGGACCAUCCUCCAAGGCUAAAUACUCCUGACUGACCGAUAGUGAACCAGUACCGUGAGGGAAAGGCGAAAAGAACCCCGGCGAGGGGAGUGAAAAAGAACCUGAAACCGUGUACGUACAAGCAGUGGGAGCCUCUUAAUGGGGUGACUGCGUACCUUUUGUAUAAUGGGUCAGCGACUUAUAUUCUGUAGCAAGGUUAACCGAAUAGGGGAGCCGAAGGGAAACCGAGUCUUAACUGGGCGUUAAGUUGCAGGGUAUAGACCCGAAACCCGGUGAUCUAGCCAUGGGCAGGUUGAAGGUUGGGUAACACUAACUGGAGGACCGAACCGACUAAUGUUGAAAAAUUAGCGGAUGACUUGUGGCUGGGGGUGAAAGGCCAAUCAAACCGGGAGAUAGCUGGUUCUCCCCGAAAGCUAUUUAGGUAGCGCCUCGUGAAUUCAUCUCCGGGGGUAGAGCACUGUUUCGGCAAGGGGGUCAUCCCGACUUACCAACCCGAUGCAAACUGCGAAUACCGGAGAAUGUUAUCACGGGAGACACACGGCGGGUGCUAACGUCCGUCGUGAAGAGGGAAACAACCCAGACCGCCAGCUAAGGUCCCAAAGUCAUGGUUAAGUGGGAAACGAUGUGGGAAGGCCCAGACAGCCAGGAUGUUGGCUUAGAAGCAGCCAUCAUUUAAAGAAAGCGUAAUAGCUCACUGGUCGAGUCGGCCUGCGCGGAAGAUGUAACGGGGCUAAACCAUGCACCGAAGCUGCGGCAGCGACACUAUGUGUUGUUGGGUAGGGGAGCGUUCUGUAAGCCUGUGAAGGUGUACUGUGAGGUAUGCUGGAGGUAUCAGAAGUGCGAAUGCUGACAUAAGUAACGAUAAAGCGGGUGAAAAGCCCGCUCGCCGGAAGACCAAGGGUUCCUGUCCAACGUUAAUCGGGGCAGGGUGAGUCGACCCCUAAGGCGAGGCCGAAAGGCGUAGUCGAUGGGAAACAGGUUAAUAUUCCUGUACUUGGUGUUACUGCGAAGGGGGGACGGAGAAGGCUAUGUUGGCCGGGCGACGGUUGUCCCGGUUUAAGCGUGUAGGCUGGUUUUCCAGGCAAAUCCGGAAAAUCAAGGCUGAGGCGUGAUGACGAGGCACUACGGUGCUGAAGCAACAAAUGCCCUGCUUCCAGGAAAAGCCUCUAAGCAUCAGGUAACAUCAAAUCGUACCCCAAACCGACACAGGUGGUCAGGUAGAGAAUACCAAGGCGCUUGAGAGAACUCGGGUGAAGGAACUAGGCAAAAUGGUGCCGUAACUUCGGGAGAAGGCACGCUGAUAUGUAGGUGAAGUCCCUUGCGGAUGGAGCUGAAAUCAGUCGAAGAUACCAGCUGGCUGCAACUGUUUAUUAAAAACACAGCACUGUGCAAACACGAAAGUGGACGUAUACGGUGUGACGCCUGCCCGGUGCCGGAAGGUUAAUUGAUGGGGUUAGCGGUAACGCGAAGCUCUUGAUCGAAGCCCCGGUAAACGGCGGCCGUAACUAUAACGGUCCUAAGGUAGCGAAAUUCCUUGUCGGGUAAGUUCCGACCUGCACGAAUGGCGUAAUGAUGGCCAGGCUGUCUCCACCCGAGACUCAGUGAAAUUGAACUCGCUGUGAAGAUGCAGUGUACCCGCGGCAAGACGGAAAGACCCCGUGAACCUUUACUAUAGCUUGACACUGAACAUUGAGCCUUGAUGUGUAGGAUAGGUGGGAGGCUUUGAAGUGUGGACGCCAGUCUGCAUGGAGCCGGCCUUGAAAUACCACCCUUUAAUGUUUGAUGUUCUAACGUUGGCCCCUGAUCGGGGUUGCGGACAGUGUCUGGUGGGUAGUUUGACUGGGGCGGUCUCCUCCUAAAGAGUAACGGAGGAGCACGAAGGUUGGCUAAUCCUGGUCGGACAUCAGGAGGUUAGUGCAAUGACAUAAGCCAGCUUGACUGCGAGCGUGACGGCGCGAGCAGGUGCGAAAGCAGGUCAUAGUGAUCCGGUGGUUCUGAAUGGAAGGGCCAUCGCUCAACGGAUAAAAGGUACUCCGGGGAUAACAGGCUGAUACCGCCCAAGAGUUCAUAUCGACGGCGGUGUUUGGCACCUCGAUGUCGGCUCAUCACAUCCUGGGGCUGAAGUAGGUCCCAAGGGUAUGGCUGUUCGCCAUUUAAAGUGGUACGCGAGCUGGGUUUAGAACGUCGUGAGACAGUUCGGUCCCUAUCUGCCGUGGGCGCUGGAGAACUGAGGGGGGCUGCUCCUAGUACGAGAGGACCGGAGUGGACGCAUCACUGGUGUUCGGGUUGUCAUGCCAAUGGCACUGCCCGGUAGCUAAAUGCGGAAGAGAUAAGUGCUGAAAGCAUCUAAGCACGAAACUUGCCCCGAGAUGAGUUCUCCCUGACUCCUUGAGAGUCCUGAAGGAACGUUGAAGACGACGACGUUGAUAGGCCGGGUGUGUAAGCGCAGCGAUGCGUUGAGCUAACCGGUACUAAUGAACCGUGAGGCUUAACCUU